rnacentral:rRNA from 1 species
AUUAGAUACCCUGGUAGUCCACGCCGUAAACGAUGUCGACUUGGAGGUUGUGCCCNUGAGGCGUGGCUUCCGGAGCUAACGCGUUAAGUCGACCGCCUGGGGAGUACGGCCGCAAGGUUAAAACUCAAAUGAAUUGANCGGGGGCCCGCACAAGCGGUGGAGCAUGUGNUUUAAUUCGAUGCAACGCGAAGAACCUUACCUACUCUUGACAUCCAGAGAACUUNCCAGAGAUGGNUUGGUGCCUUCGGGAACUCUGAGANCAGGUGCUGCAUGGCUGUCGUCAGCUCGUGUUGUGAAAUGUUGGGUUAAGUCCCGCAACGAGCGCAACCCUUAUCCUUUGUUGCCAGCGGUNNGGCCGGGAACUCAAAGGAGACUGCCAGUGAUAAACUGGAGGAAGGUGGGGAUGACGUCAAGUCAUCAUGGCCCUUACGAGAGGGCUACACACGUGCUACAAUGGCGCAUACAAAGAGAAGCGACCUCGCGAGAGCAAGCGGACCUCAUAAAGUGCGUCGUAGUCCGGAUUUGGAGUC